AACAAGGCGUACCUGCGGACCUGCGGAGGGAUCAUUACCAGAGUGCCCUAGGCUCUCCAACCCAUUGUGAACUUACCAAACGUUCCCUCGGCGGGCUCAGCGCGCGGCGGCCUCCGGGCCUCCGGGCGUCCGCCGGGGAAAACCAAACCCUGAUUUAAUCGUAUUUCUCUGAGGGGCGAAAGCCCGAAAACAAAAUGAAUCAAAACUUUUAACAACGGAUCUCAGAUCGGAAGAGCACAC
rnacentral:misc_RNA from 1 species